AUUCCAGCUCCAAUAGCGUAUAUUAAAGUUGUUGCAGUUAAAAAGCUCGUAGUUGAAUUUCUGGGGUGGGCGCCGGUCCGUCAUUUUGACGCGUACUUGGUUUUGUCCUGCCCCAUUCUUGUGGGGUGCGUGUUGGGUCCUUGAUUGGUUCCGCGCGUGUUUUAAGCCCUGCAUCGAUUACUGUGAACAAAUUAGAGUGUUUAAGGCGGGCUGUAGGCUUGAAUACAUUAGCAUGGAAUAAUGACAUAGGACUUUGGGUUCUAUUUCGUUGGUUGAGACCUGAGGUAAUGAUUAAUAGGGAUAGUUGGGGGUAUUCAUAUUUGAUUGUCAGAGGUGAAAUUCUUGGAUUUAUUAAAGAUGAACAACUGCGAAAGCAUUUACCAAGGAUGUUUUCAUUA
rnacentral:rRNA from 1 species